CUACGGGUGGCACCAGUGGGGAAUAUUGGACAAUGGGGGAAACCCUGAUCCAGCAAUGCCGCGUGUGUGAAGAAGGCCUGCGGGUUGUAAAGCACUUUCGGUUGGGAGGACUGCUUCUAGCACUAAUAUUGUUGGAAGUUGACGUUACCUUCAGAAGAAGCACCGGCUAACUCCGUGCCAGCAGCCGCGGUAAUACGGAGAGUGCAAGCGUUAAUCGGAAUUACUGGGCGUAAAGCGCGCGUAGGCGGCUAGAUCAGUCGGGUGUGAAAGCCCCGGGCUUAACCUGGGAACUGCAUCCGAUACUGUCUAGCUUGAGUACAGGAGAGGAGGGUGGAAUUCCACAUGUAGCGGUGAAAUGCGUAGAUAUGUGGAGGAACACCAAUGGCGAAGGCAGCUCUCUGGCCUGAUACUGACGCUGAGGUGCGAAAGCGUGGGGAGCAAACAGGAUUAGAUACCCCGGUAGUC
rnacentral:rRNA from 1 species